GCCCUUCCUCCUUCAUGCCAACUUCAUCCCUGUUCCAUCUUCCAUGCCCCACUUCUUUUAGAUCAGAUCUAGAGAGAGGCCUUAGAGAGAGAAAAAGAAAAUCAAGGAGUUCUUAAUAUUUUUUGGGGGUUAAGAUCAAUCCUCAGGAUCCUAUACAGAGUUGUUUCAAGUGAUAUUAAGUAAAAGGCCUUGAUCUAAGCCAAAGAACGAAGCCUGCAAGAGAGCUAGCACCCUGGAUAUUUUAGAGUUCUGAUUAGAAUAUCUCUAUGUGGAUACCAGUAGAGGCUGGGUGCUUACGUGGUUAUGACAGGAACUCCAGACAUCCGCGGGAUCUGAUCUAAAGAA
rnacentral:lncRNA from 1 species